rnacentral:tRNA from 1 species
GCCUUCGUGGUGUAGUGGUCAGCACACUCGACGCAAAUCCGAGAGAUCCUUGGUUCGAAUCCUGGCGAGGGCA